UUCUGGCUCAGGAUGAACGCUAGCUACAGGCUUAACACAUGCAAGUCGAGGGGUAGCAGGGUAGCAAUACCGCUGACGACCGGCGCACGGGUGAGUAACACGUAUCCAACCUUCCCAUAACUCAGGGAUAGCCUUUCGAAAGAAAGAUUAAUACCUGAUAGUACUUUUUCAAGGCAUCUUAGAAAAAAGUUAAAGAUUUAUUGGUUAUGGAUGGGGAUGCGUUCCAUUAGAUAGUUGGUGAGGUAACGGCUCACCAAGUCUUCGAUGGAUAGGGGUUCUGAGAGGAAGGUCCCCCCACAUUGGUACUGAGACACGGACCAAACUCCUACGGGAGGCAGCAGUGAGGAAUAUUGGUCAAUGGGCGAGAGCCUGAACCAGCCAAGUAGCGUGAAAAGGAUGAAGGUCCUAUGGAUUGUAAACUUCUUUUAUAGUAGAAUAAAGUGAGCCACGUGUGGUUUUUUGUAUGUAUACUAUGAAUAAGGAUCGGCUAACUCCGUGCCAGCCGCCGC
rnacentral:rRNA from 1 species